CCUACGGGUGGCAGCAGUGAGGAAUAUUGGUCAAUGGGCGAGAGCCUGAACCAGCCAAGUCGCGUGAAGGAUGACUGUCUUAUGGAUUGUAAACUUCUUUUAUACGGGAAUAACAAGAGUCACGUGUGACUCCCUGCAUGUACCGUAUGAAUAAGCAUCGGCUAACUCCGUGCCAGCAGCCGCGGUAAUACGGAGGAUGCGAGCGUUAUCCGGAUUUAUUGGGUUUAAAGGGUGCGUAGGCGGCCUGUUAAGUCAGCGGUGAAAUCUAGGAGCUUAACUCCUAAAUUGCCAUUGAAACUGGCGGGCUUGAGUGUAGAUGAGGUAGGCGGAAUGCGUGGUGUAGCGGUGGAAUGCAUAGAUAUCACGCAGAACUCCGAUUGCGAAGGCAGCUUACUAAGGUACAACUGACGCUGAAGCACGAAAGCGUGGGUAUCAAACAGGAUUAGAUACCCCAGUAGUC
rnacentral:rRNA from 1 species